CUGUUGCUAUUUUCGUAUUAUAUAUUGAGCUUGCAUCCCCGUUGUUUCUAUUAUACUCUACUCAUAUGUUUCUAUGCUUAGUAUCAUGUGUAGGAGUAGAGUAGUUUAUCCAUAUGUGAUACCGGUGACCUGAUUGGUCGGUUCUCGUACUUUGUUUCGGUGACCUGAUUGGUCGGUUCUCGUACUUUGUUUCGGUGACCUGAUUGGUCGGUUCUCGUACUUUGUUUCGGUGACCUGAUUGGUCGGUUCUCGUACUUUGUUUCGGUGACCUGAUUGGUCGGUUCUCGUACUUUGUUUCGGUGACCUGAUUGGUCGGUUCUCGUACUUUGUUUCGGUGACCUGAUUGGUCGGUUCUCGUACUUUGUUUCGGUGACCUGAUUGGUCGGUUCUCGUACUUUGUUUCGGUGACCUGAUUGGUCGGUUCUCGUACUUUGUUUCGGUGACCUGAUUGGUCGGUUCUCGUACUUUGUUUCGGUGACCUGAUUGGUCGGUUCUCGUACUUUGUUUCGGUGACCUGAUUGGUCGGUUCUCGUACUUUGUUUCGGUGACCUGAUUGGUCGGUUCUCGUACUUUGUUUCGGUGACCUGAUUGGUCGGUUCUCGUACUUUGUUUCGGUGACCUGAUUGGUCGGUUCUCGUACUUUGUUUCGGUGACCUGAUUGGUCGGUUCUCGUACUUUGUUUCGGUGACCUGAUUGGUCGGUUCUCGUACUUUGUUUCGGUGACCUGAUUGGUCGGUUCUCGUACUUUGUUUCGGUGACCUGAUUGGUCGGUUCUCGUACUUCGUUUCGGUGACCUAGUUGAUCGGUGCUUUUAUCUUAUAUCUGUUGACCUGGUUGGUCGGUUGUUGCAUUAUGUAUUGGGUUGGUCUGUUUCUUGACUUCUGUUGUUCGAUGACCUUUGAGGUCGGUGUACCCUGAGGGGUAGGAUUGUCGGCUGGUGCUGACGGUAGUUCUGGACUAUAUCGAAUACACUCCUGUGACCUAUCGGUCGGUUCUUGCGUUCGUACUUUUAGUUGACAUCGAGCAGUAUCUACAUACUAUCUUUAUUUACUCUGCCUGGUUGUUCUAUGUGUAGUAUCCUGUAUAGGGGUAGAGUAGAUGGCAUUCGUAUAUAC
rnacentral:lncRNA from 1 species